GACGAACGCUGGCGGCGUGCCUAAUACAUGCAAGUUGAGCGCUGAAGGUUGGUACUUGUACCAACUGGGUGAGCAGCGAACGGGUGAGUAACGCGUGGGGAAUCUGCCUUUGAGCGGGGGACAACAUUUGGAAACGAAUGCUAAUACCGCAUAAAAACUUUAAACACAAGUUUUAAGUUUGAAAGAUGCAAUUGCAUCACUCAAAGAUGAUCCCGCGUUGUAUUAGCUAGUUGGUGAGGUAAAGGCUCACCAAGGCGAUGAUACAUAGCCGACCUGAGAGGGUGAUCGGCCACAUUGGGACUGAGACACGGCCCAAACUCCUACGGGAGGCAGCAGUAGGGAAUCUUCGGCAAUGGACGAAAGUCUGACCGAGCAACGCCGCGUGAGUGCAGAAGGUUGUCGGAUCGUAAAACUCUGUUGGUAGAGAAGAACGUUGGUGAGAGUGGAAAGCUCAUCAAGUGACGGUAACUACCCAGAAAGGGACGGCUAACUACGUG
rnacentral:rRNA from 1 species